rnacentral:rRNA from 1 species
CGUAGGGGGCAAGCGUUGUCCGGAUUUAUUGGGCGUAAAGCGCUCGCAGGUGGUCCGUCGCGUCGUGCGUGAAAGCCCCCGGCUCAACUGGGGAGUGUCGUGCGAUACGGGCGGACUGGAGGCCAGUAGGGGGAUGCGGAAUUCCGGGUGUAGUGGUGGAAUGCGUAGAGAUCCGGAGGAACACCAGCGGCGAAGGCGGCAUCCUGGACUGGUCCUGACACUCAUGAGCGAAAGCGUGGGGAGCGAUCCGGAUUAGAUACCCGGGUAGUCCACGCCGUAAACGAUGCGCACUAGGUGUCGGGGGUAUCGACCCCCUCGGUGCCGCAGCUAACGCGAUAAGUGCGCCGCCUGGGGACUACGGCCGCAAGGCUA